UACGUAGGGUGCGAGCGUUGUCCGGAAUUAUUGGGCGUAAAGAGCUCGUAGGCGGUGUGUCGCGUCGGCCGUGAAAACCUGGGGCUCAACUCUGGGCGUGCGGUCGAUACGGGCAUCACUUGAGUUCGGCAGGGGAGACUGGAAUUCCUGGUGUAGCGGUGAAAUGCGUAGAGAUCGGAAAGAACACCAACGGCGAAAGCACUCUGCUGGGCCGACACUGACACUGGAGAGGCGAAAGCUAGGGGAGCGAAUGGG
rnacentral:rRNA from 1 species